UACGAUUAAAAAACUUUAAUAAGUUUGUCAGACGUUUCGCCGGUUAGGGCUUCAUCAGUGACACAAAACUUUGUGUCACUGAUGAAGCUCUAUCAGGCGAAACGUCUGACAAACUUAUUAAAGUUUU
rnacentral:miRNA from 1 species